AAUCAUCGUAACUCAUAGUUAAUGAGAGUUGUAUCAUCGUCACGGUCGUGUUAUAGUCCAAAUUUAUGUAUGAGGGGAUUGUACAUUAAAUAUGGGUGAACUACUAUCAACAUACAUACAUGUACCCCUAUAUAUAUCUAAGUCACAUAAACAUUCAACCUCCAAAUCGUAUUAUUAUAGUCCAACAAUCACUUAUAUCAUCAUUAUUCAUAAUCA
rnacentral:lncRNA from 1 species